rnacentral:rRNA from 1 species
GAUGAACGCUAGCUACAGGCUUAACACAUGCAAGUCGAGGGGCAGCAGGAUCUAGCAAUAGAUUGCUGGCGACCGGCGCACGGGUGAGUAACACGUAUCCAACCUGCCGAUAACUCGGGGAUAGCCUUUCGAAAGAAAGAUUAAUACCCGAUGGUAUAAUCAGACCGCAUGGUCUUGUUAUUAAAGAAUUUCGGUUAUCGAUGGGGAUGCGUUCCAUUAGGCAGUUGGUGAGGUAACGGCUCACCAAACCUUCGAUGGAUAGGGGUUCUGAGAGGAAGGUCCCCCACAUUGGAACUGAGACACGGUCCAA